AGAGUUUGAUCCUGGCUCAGGACGAACGCUGGCGGUGUGCCUCACACAUGCAAGUCGAACGGGGUAGCAAUACCUAGUGGCGGACGGGUGAGUAACACGUGGGAAUCUGCCCUUGAGUGGUGAAUAACUGACCGAAAGGUUAGCUAAUGUGCCAUACGUCGCAAGAUGAAAGCAGCAAUGCGCUGAAGGAUGAGCCCGCG
rnacentral:rRNA from 1 species